rnacentral:rRNA from 1 species
UACAGAGGUCUCAAGCGUUGUUCGGAUUCAUUGGGCGUAAAGGGUGUGUAGGUGGCGCGCUAAGUCGGGUGUGAAAUUUCGGAGCUUAACUCCGAAACUGCAUUCGAUACUGGCGUGCUUGAGGACUGGAGAGGAGACUGGAAUUUACGGUGUAGCAGUGAAAUGCGUAGAUAUCGUAAGGAAGACCAGUGACGAAGGCGGGUCUCUGGACAGUUCCUGACACUGAGACACGAAGGCCAGGGGAGCAAACGGG